rnacentral:rRNA from 1 species
UCAGGAUGAACGCUAGCGGCAGGCUAACACAUGCAAGUCGAGGGGCGAGCGGGGAGUAGCAAUACUCCGCCGGCGACCGGCGAAAGGGUGCGUAACGCGUGAGCAACUUGCCCGUAUCCGGGACAUAAGCGGUGGAAACGCCGUCUAAUUUCCCAUAACAACGAGGGCCGCAUGACCCAUGUUUGAAAGAUCCGUCGGAUACGGAUGGGCUCGCGAGACAUUAGCUAGUCGGCGUGGUAACGGCACACCGAGGCGACGAUGUCUAGGGGUUCUGAGAGGAAGGUCCCCCACACUGGAACUGAGACACGGUCCAGACUCCUACGGGAGGCAGCAGUGAGGAAUAUUGGUCAAUGGGCGCAAGCCUGAACCAGCCAUGCCGCGUGCAGGAAUAAGGCCCCCUAUGGGUCGUAAACUGCUUUUUGUGGUGGAGCAAUAAGGCGUACGUGUACGUCGAUGAGAGUACAUCACGAAUAAGCAUCGGCUAACUCCGUGCCAGCAGCUGC